AACACUGUUAACCUGCGGUACCUGCGGAGGGAUCAUUACAGGACUCGCAAGACUCCUACAACCCUGUGAACCUACUAUACGAACGUUGCUUCGGCGGGUGCGCCCCGGGGAUUCGUUCCCGAGGCGCGUCAGCCCGCCGGCAGCCUACAAAUUCUGUUUCUUUGCGUUGGCAUCUCGAGAAAAAACAAAUAAGUUAAAACUUUCAACAAUGGAUCU
rnacentral:misc_RNA from 1 species